CGCCGUGGUCCUCACAGCUCAACCACCGCGCCUCCCUCCUCCUCCUUUUAAUCCUCUCCAGGCCUUCUCCAAACCCUAACCCCUCUCCUUUUCCUCCUCCCUUGCGCCGCCGCCCCUCUUUCUUUUCCUUCUCUUAUCUGUGAGGAACACCAACACCACCGAGAGGGCCGCUGUCGAACCUUGACCGUGCCGUCGCCAUGGCCACUCCCUCGACGAGCUGAGACUACCAAAAUAAGCGCCUCGACGUCCUCUACCUCCCCCUUGAAAGAAUCGACCUGAGGCGCCCUCUUUCCCCUUCGUUUUUGCCAAUUCUCCCUCGGCGUCUGCGAGCUCCGGCGCCGAUUCCGGCCACCGUGGGCCUCCUCCGCCCCUUAUGAGCACGCCAUCGAGUCCCUGAACCUUGCCGCCGGCGAGCUCUCCGGCGACCUCCAGCCGACGGCGCUGCCUCCAUACGGUCCGCGCCGACGAGACGAACCUGACGCGCCCUCGCGCGCAUCCAGGGACGCCCCACAUCGCCCGCUCUCUUCAUCACCGCCCGCGGUGACCGCCCGCGUAUGGAACGUGCACGGCGUCGAACGCCUUGUGUGCGUGCACGCAUGGUUGGCCAGCGUGGCAGCCACGUCGCCUCCCUGACCCCACCCGUCAGCCGCUCGGGCUAGACCCUGCCACGCAUUUGCUUCUUCCCGGAUAGGAUCGCGAAGUGUUGUUGUGAGAUACGACGAGUUCUCCGACAAGUUCUUCUGCUGCUUUUCACAGGC